rnacentral:lncRNA from 1 species
AUAUCCUCUACCAAAGGUAAUUUGGAAUAUGAUUGAGCUCGUCAAAGUCAUGAGAGUUUUGCUCAAAUUCACAAUAUUAGAAUCACCAGCAGCAGCACUACCGCGAAUAGUUUUGACCAUCCGAGCAACUUCUUGUUCGCGGAUGGGUUGAAAAGACUGAGACCUUUUAGUACUAAAAAGAUGUAAGUUACAUAAUUUCCUCAUGUCCCUCCAGUAGUCGUUAUAGGGUGCAAACACAACAUCUAUGCCGUUAUAGGAUACUCUUUGCGAGCCAACUAGAGUUGGCCUGCUUGAAAAGCAUAGAUCAUGGUACUUAAAAACUUGUUUGGCUGCAGCAGCCGAGGAGAUGACUAGAGUUUGAACGGAGCCUAACUGUAAAGACAUGAGAGGGCCAUACUUCUGGGAAAGUUUGUACAAGUAGACGUGGGUGCUUAAGCUGUCGAACUGGUGCAUGUUUCCUAUCACUGGGAGGCCAGGGGGACCUGGGGGGCGGCGACUCGACUUGCGGACAUGGUGAUUUCGAAGUGUGAAAAGCAAGAGCAGGGGAAGAGAGAUCGCCAAGAGGAGAGCUACUUCCAUUAUUGAUUUUGUGAUAAUGAGUGUUAUCUUCGCGGAUGUGUUCGAGACUUUAAGCGCUUGUUCUUUUCCCCCAAGUGUGCAGGGUCGGUUGGACGUGAUUAUUGACUAAAAAUCAAAUCAAUCCACAGGUUGCGAUAAUAUGAAAUUUCGGACCACAGUUAUAUGUGCAGUUACAAAAAUUAAUAACACCAACUCGCAAGUUAUGCCAUGCGGUGUUCACAUUCAAGUCUUUUAAACAAAAUCAAACUUAGUACAAAAAUGAAUAUUAUAAUUUUAUUACGGUGCAUAUCAUGAGUCAAGUUCAAAUCUUAUAUGAGAAUUAGUGUAAUUUAGACAAAGAUAAUAAUGUAGAUAUAAUCAUUAAAUAUUUUUUUUUCAUUUCAAAAUAAUAGUUAUUUUGAUUUUUUUUAGGUAAUUUGAGGUGUAAAGAGAAUAUUUUUAUAUAUUAUUUUUCAAUUUCUUUUUUUAAAUAAAAAUAUAGAUCUUAAACUUUUCUAUAUUAAAAAAGAAAUUUUGAAUAAUAACGUAUAGAAAUAAUUUUUUUAUAUUUCAAAUUACGUAUAAAAAGUCAUGCAACAUUUACACAAAUAAUCGAGUCAACAAAUAGUAAAUUGCAAUCCCCUUGCGAAAGUCAAACGAUAUGUUGAAGAUAUUGUAUAUGCAAAUACAAGUAUCCGCUUCGUGCAUUCUCGUUGAAUUACUUGUACCCUCUUCAUGAUACCCUGACUGAUAGAACUAUAGUUUAAGCUAUCGAUCAGAAUUGUGAUUUUAUACAAAUUUUCAUUACCAAAUCAAAACCUCGCCUUAUAAUUAAGAAGUGAAAACAAAACUCUCAUCAAGGAGAGAGAACAACCUACAACUUGAAAAUACAAGUCGAUAAUCAUAAUAAAAGCAAACUGAAAACGAAUGAAAAUAAAAAAUUUAGAUCUGACAAUCGAAACAACAAGAUAGACGAUCAACUCUCGAGUCCGAUAAAAUCUGCUUGAAUCGAAUAAAAAAAUAUAUCGGAAACUCUGAUGAUGUAGAUCUAGAAAAACAAACCAAACAUAAGCAAAAGUAGAACUAGGGGCUGUUUGGCAACACCUUUUAAGCCAGCUUCUGGGUUUAUAAGUUAGAAGCACUUAUUUCGUACCGUUUGUGUAAAAAGUCAAGAAGCACUUAUAAAAAGCUAGGAAUGCUAGCUUUUGUCUCAGGACUUCUACUUAUUUACCAAACACUUUAAUCACUUAUAAGUCUUAACUUGUUUCUAACUUCUACUCCACUUAUUUAUUUUAAGUAAGAAGCACUUAUUUUAAGCCCACCCAAACGGCCUCUAAGCAAAAGUAGAACCAAAUCAGAUAAAACAAAUAAAAGAGUUUGGGGUUUUUCUUACCUCAAAAGCCGAUGCAAGCCCUUCAGGUAAUAGGCUUGUCAAAUAAUGGAAACGGCUACUUUAAGAACAAAGAGAAUUUUAGAAUUCUUAGUUUUAAAAUGUGUGCCGAGCCUUCAUCCUCCGGUAUUAAUAAUUGAGGGUGAGUGGGUGACGGAGGGAGUACACAAAAACAACGGUCGACGCCUUCACACACAUUUUAUUCCUGAUGUAUGACCACUGAUAUACGCACGGGAUACUUAUGUAAUGACUUCUGGGACAAGACAAAGAUGAUUCUUCUUGUGCAUUGUUAUACCAGGCAGGGCAGCCAUGUCAAUAUCUUUCCUAUCUUCACCGGGAGGCAAUUCCCAGUUAAAAGGGUAGAGAAGAUUAGCUAGCGCUAGCUCCGUCGUAGCCACUCCCAUUGCCAUUCCUGGACAUAUUCUCCGUCCUACCCCAAAUGGUAUCAGCUCAAAAUCCUGUCCUUUAAAAUCAAUGCUACUCAUCAUGAAUCUCUCAGGCAAAAACUCGUUAGGAUUUUCCCAACAUUCAGGAUCCUUUCCUAUAGCAUAUGCAUUUACGUAGACAAGUGUUUUAGCUUCAAUAUCGUACCCAUUGAUCACACAUUUUUCAAUUGUUUGGCGGGGAAUAAGAAGUGGAAUAGGUGGGUUCAAUCUCAUUGCCUCCUUCACUACUGCUUUAAGAUAAACAAGCUUUUGCACGUCGUUUUCGGCUACAAAUCCUUUUUCUCCGGUGACCUCUCUCACCUCCUUUUGUGCCUUCUUCAUUUUUGCGGGGUUCUUGAUUAACAGAGUCAUGGCCCAUACCACAGCUGCUGCACUUGUAUCUGAUGCUCCAAUUAUAACAUUCUGCGGAAUAUGCAGGAUAAACAAUGUAUCAGCAAAAAUUGCAGAUGUUAAAAAUGGCUACCGUUCAAAUUUCAAUCAAAUUGGAUCAUUUGAUAUAUCUAAUCUAUGGGAGAGUUCAGUGGCAAACAUUUAUAUAUUUGCACAAGACUUUCUAAUCUCCACCAAUAAGCUAAGCAAUACUACUGAACUAUCUCGGCUAAUACCAGUUGCUUUCUAAUAAAAGAACGAAGUAUAGUUCCAAUAAUUACCAUUAAUAUUGCUUUGACAUGAUCAAUCGUGAACUCAGAUGAAUCCUUUUUCAUCUGCAGCAAGAUGUCGAGGAUGCUGCACUCUUGGCCAGAUACAGAGGAUGCAUGAAGAUGUUCAUCAAUGAGUUGUUGAUAAAAAGCGUCCAAUGCAAUGAAACUCUUCUCCAGACGUUCACAUGCCCCACUAAGCCUAUCAAUCAAUCGACCUACUAGAGGAAAAUAAUCUGCAACAAAGAAACUUCCGAAAAUGGCCUGAGUUUCAGAUAAUAGCCAAUAAAAUCUACUACUCAUAUUAUGAUCACCGUCUUCAUCAUGGUAUCCUCUGCCAAAGGUAAUUUUAAAUAUGAUUGAGCUCGUCAAAGUUUUAAGAAUUUUGCUCAAAUUCACAACAUUAGAAUCAGCAGCAGCAGCGCAAAUAGUUUUAACCAUCCGGGCAACUUCUUGUUCACGGAUAGGUUGAAAAGACUGAGACCUUUUAGAACUAAAAAGAUGUAAGUUACAUAAUUUCCUCAUGUCCCUCCAGUACUCGUUAUAGGGUGCAAAGACAACAUCUAUGCCGUUAUAGGAUACUCUUUGCGAGCCAACUAGAGUUGGCCUGCUUGAAAAGCAGAGAUCAUGGUACUUAAAAACUUGUUUGGCUGCAGCAGCGGAGGAGAUGACUAGAGUUUGAACGGAGCCUAACUGUAAAGACAU